rnacentral:lncRNA from 1 species
UUUUGAGAAGCUAUUUUCUGUUUUCUUCUAUCUCUUGUAUUUACUUGAUUCAAUCGGGGGAUUGAAUCAAGGGGUUUAAGGUUGGUUGGUGAGCCAAGUUAAAACCAACGUGUGUAAGGGUUUGAUUGUGAGCCCGGAAAAACAAUCGGGGUUUGGUUCUAGUCGGUGAGCCUGGAAAAACCGACCGAGUUCGUUGUGAGCUUGUAAAACAACAAGUUUGGUUGUGAGCUUGCAAAACAACCGGCUGUAAUCCAAGGGGGUUAUAGUGAAAUUCCCAAGUGAGACUUGGGGAGUGGACGUAGGAGCAAGGGUUAGCUCCGAACCACUAUAAAACUUUGUGUUUGUAGUGCAUUGUCUCUCAUCUUCU